rnacentral:rRNA from 1 species
GGUGAUAUGAACCGUUAUAACCGGCGAUUUCCGAAUGGGGAAACCCAGUGUGUUUCGACACACUAUCAUUAACUGAAUCCAUAGGUUAAUGAGGCGAACCGGGGGAACUGAAACAUCUAAGUACCCCGAGGAAAAGAAAUCAACCGAGAUUCCCCCAGUAGCGGCGAGCGAACGGGGAGGAGCCCAGAGCCUGAAUCAGUGUGUGUGUUAGUGGAAGCGUCUGGAAAGGCGCGCGAUACAGGGUGACAGCCCCGUACACAAAAAUGCACAUAUUGUGAGCUCGAUGAGUAGGGCGGGACACGUGGUAUCCUGUCUGAAUAUGGGGGGACCAUCCUCCAAGGCUAAAUACUCCUGACUGACCGAUAGUGAACCAGUACCGUGAGGGAAAGGCGAAAAGAACCCCGGCGAGGGGAGUGAAAAAGAACCUGAAACCGUGUACGUACAAGCAGUGGGAGCCUCUUUAUGGGGUGACUGCGUACCUUUUGUAUAAUGGGUCAGCGACUUAUAUUCUGUAGCAAGGUUAACCGAAUAGGGGAGCCGAAGGGAAACCGAGUCUUAACUGGGCGUUAAGUUGCAGGGUAUAGACCCGAAACCCGGUGAUCUAGCCAUGGGCAGGUUGAAGGUUGGGUAACACUAACUGGAGGACCGAACCGACUAAUGUUGAAAAAUUAGCGGAUGACUUGUGGCUGGGGGUGAAAGGCCAAUCAAACCGGGAGAUAGCUGGUUCUCCCCGAAAGCUAUUUAGGUAGCGCCUCGUGAAUUCAUCUCCGGGGGUAGAGCACUGUUUCGGCAAGGGGGUCAUCCCGACUUACCAACCCGAUGCAAACUGCGAAUACCGGAGAAUGUUAUCACGGGAGACACACGGCGGGUGCUAACGUCCGUCGUGAAGAGGGAAACAACCCAGACCGCCAGCUAAGGUCCCAAAGUCAUGGUUAAGUGGGAAACGAUGUGGGAAGGCCCAGACAGCCAGGAUGUUGGCUUAGAAGCAGCCAUCAUUUAAAGAAAGCGUAAUAGCUCACUGGUCGAGUCGGCCUGCGCGGAAGAUGUAACGGGGCUAAACCAUGCACCGAAGCUGCGGCAGCGACACUAUGUGUUGUUGGGUAGGGGAGCGUUCUGUAAGCCUGUGAAGGUGGCCUGUGAGGGUUGCUGGAGGUAUCAGAAGUGCGAAUGCUGACAUAAGUAACGAUAAAGCGGGUGAAAAGCCCGCUCGCCGGAAGACCAAGGGUUCCUGUCCAACGUUAAUCGGGGCAGGGUGAGUCGACCCCUAAGGCGAGGCCGAAAGGCGUAGUCGAUGGGAAACAGGUUAAUAUUCCUGUACUUGGUGUUACUGCGAAGGGGGGACGGAGAAGGCUAUGUUGGCCGGGCGACGGUUGUCCCGGUUUAAGCGUGUAGGCUGGUUUUCCAGGCAAAUCCGGAAAACCAAGGCUGAGGCGUGAUGACGAGGCACUACGGUGCUGAAGCGACAAAUGCCCUGCUUCCAGGAAAAGCCUCUAAGCAUCAGGUAACAUCAAAUCGUACCCCAAACCGACACAGGUGGUCAGGUAGAGAAUACCAAGGCGCUUGAGAGAACUCGGGUGAAGGAACUAGGCAAAAUGGUGCCGUAACUUCGGGAGAAGGCACGCUGAUAUGUAGGUGAAGCGACUUGCUCGUGGAGCUGAAAUCAGUCGAAGAUACCAGCUGGCUGCAACUGUUUAUUAAAAACACAGCACUGUGCAAACACGAAAGUGGACGUAUACGGUGUGACGCCUGCCCGGUGCCGGAAGGUUAAUUGAUGGGGUUAGCGGUAACGCGAAGCUCUUGAUCGAAGCCCCGGUAAACGGCGGCCGUAACUAUAACGGUCCUAAGGUAGCGAAAUUCCUUGUCGGGUAAGUUCCGACCUGCACGAAUGGCGUAAUGAUGGCCAGGCUGUCUCCACCCGAGACUCAGUGAAAUUGAACUCGCUGUGAAGAUGCAGUGUACCCGCGGCAAGACGGAAAGACCCCGUGAACCUUUACUAUAGCUUGACACUGAACAUUGAGCCUUGAUGUGUAGGAUAGGUGGGAGGCUUUGAAGUGUGGACGCCAGUCUGCAUGGAGCCGACCUUGAAAUACCACCCUUUAAUGUUUGAUGUUCUAACGUUGGCCCGUAAUCCGGGUUGCGGACAGUGUCUGGUGGGUAGUUUGACUGGGGCGGUCUCCUCCUAAAGAGUAACGGAGGAGCACGAAGGUUGGCUAAUCCUGGUCGGACAUCAGGAGGUUAGUGCAAUGGCAUAAGCCAGCUUGACUGCGAGCGUGACGGCGCGAGCAGGUGCGAAAGCAGGUCAUAGUGAUCCGGUGGUUCUGAAUGGAAGGGCCAUCGCUCAACGGAUAAAAGGUACUCCGGGGAUAACAGGCUGAUACCGCCCAAGAGUUCAUAUCGACGGCGGUGUUUGGCACCUCGAUGUCGGCUCAUCACAUCCUGGGGCUGAAGUAGGUCCCAAGGGUAUGGCUGUUCGCCAUUUAAAGUGGUACGCGAGCUGGGUUUAGAACGUCGUGAGACAGUUCGGUCCCUAUCUGCCGUGGGCGCUGGAGAACUGAGGGGGGCUGCUCCUAGUACGAGAGGACCGGAGUGGACGCAUCACUGGUGUUCGGGUUGUCAUGCCAAUGGCACUGCCCGGUAGCUAAAUGCGGAAGAGAUAAGUGCUGAAAGCAUCUAAGCACGAAACUUGCCCCGAGAUGAGUUCUCCCUGACUCCUUGAGAGUCCUGAAGGAACGUUGAAGACGACGACGUUGAUAGGCCGGGUGUGUAAGCGCAGCGAUGCGUUGAGCUAAC